CACAGGUUUGGUCCCGACCUUGCCAUUAAUUAAAGCUAAACUUACACAUGCAAGUAUCCGCGCCCCCGUGAAAACGCCCUUAUAUUUACACCUAAUAAAUUAAGGGGCUGGUAUCAGGCACAUACCCCCUAAGCCCAAGACACCUGGCUCAGCCACACCCACAAGGGACUUCAGCAGUGAUAAACAUUGAGUAUAAGCGCAAAGCUCGACUCAGUUACAGCUACCAGAGCCGGUAAAUCUCGUGCCAGCCACCGCGGUUACACGAAAGACUCAAAUUAAUGACCAACGGCGUAAAGCGUGGUUAGAUAAAAUUUUACCCACUAGAGUAAAACACUAGCCAAGCCGUCACACGCUAUCGCUAACCAGAAAAACUUCUACGAAAGUGACUCUACCAUAAGAAUAAAUUUGAACCCACGACCGCUAGGACACAAACUGGGAUUAGAUACCCCACUAUGCCUAACCUUAAACUUUGACAAUUUACACACUACUUCCGCCAGGGUACUACGAGCUACAGCUUAAAACCCAAAGGACUUGGCGGUGCCCCAUACCACCUAGAGGAGCCUGUUCUAUAAUCGAUAACCCCCGCUAAACCUCACCACUUAUUGCCAAUACCGCCUAUAUACCACCGUCGCCAGCCCACCCUGUGAAGGGCUUCAAGUAGGCACAAUGGUCACCACCAAAACGUCAGGUCAAGGUGUAGCACAUGAAGUGGGAAGAAAUGGGCUACAUUUUCUACCCUAGAACAAACGAACGAUCAUAUGAAACAUGCUCAGAAGGUGGAUUUAGCAGUAAAAAGGAACAAAAGAGUCCUUUUAAAUCCGGCCCUGGGGCGCGUACACACCGCCCGUCACCCUCUUCAACCCUGCAAGAACUAUAAUUAAUUAAAACGCCACAAAAGAAGAGGCAAGUCGUAACAUGGUAAGCAUACUGGAAAGUAUGCUUGGAAAAU
rnacentral:ncRNA from 1 species